rnacentral:tRNA from 2 species
CGGGGCAUGGCGCAGUCUGGUAGCGCGCUUGCUUUGGGAGCAAGAUGCCGGGUGUUCGAAUCAUCCUGCCCCGACCA